CCUACGGGUGGCAGCAGUGGGGAAUAUUGCACAAUGGGCGAAAGCCUGAUGCAGCAACGCCGCGUGAGCGAUGAAGGCCUUCGGGUCGUAAAGCUCUGUCCUCAAGGAAGAUAAUGACGGUACUUGAGGAGGAAGCCCCGGCUAACUACGUGCCAGCAGCCGCGGUAAUACGUAGGGGGCUAGCGUUAUCCGGAAUUACUGGGCGUAAAGGGUGCGUAGGUGGUUUCUUAAGUCAGAGGUGAAAGGCUACGGCUCAACCGUAGUAAGCCUUUGAAACUGGGAAACUUGAGUGCAGGAGAGGAGAGUGGAAUUCCUAGUGUAGCGGUGAAAUGCGUAGAUAUUAGGAGGAACACCGAUUGCGAAGGCAGCUUACCAAGCUACUUCUGACGUUGAGGCACGAAAGCGUGGGGAGCAAACAGGAUUAGAUACCCCAGUAGUC
rnacentral:rRNA from 1 species